rnacentral:rRNA from 1 species
UAGGGAAUCUUCCACAAUGGACGAAAGUCUGAUGGAGCAACGCCGCGUGAGUGAUGAAGGGUUUCGGCUCGUAAAACUCUGUUGUUGGAGAAGAACGGGUGUCAGAGUAACUGUUGACAUCGUGACGGUAUCCAACCAGAAAGCCACGGCUAACUACGUGCCAGCAGCCGCGGUAAUACGUAGGUGGCAAGCGUUGUCCGGAUUUAUUGGGCGUAAAGCGAGCGCAGGCGGUUUUUUAGGUCUGAUGUGAAAGCUCGGC